CCCUUAGAUGUUCUGGGCUGCACACGUGCUACACUGGCAGGUUCAGCGAGCUUCAUGCCCUGAUCUGAAAGGAAUGGGAAAUCUUUUCAAAACCUGCCGUGCUUGGGAUAGAUGUUUGCAAUUAUUCAUCUUCAACGAGGAUUGCCUUGUAAGCGCACGUCAUCAGCGCGCAUUGAAUACGACCCUGUAUUCUGUACACACCGCCCGUCGCUCCUACCGAUUGAAGUUUUCGGUGAGUUGACAGGAGGAUUUUUUUGAAACUGGUUCGCCAGUGGAUUUUAGAUCCAAAUGCCAACGAAUCGAUGGCUUUAGAGGAAGGAGAAGUCGUAACA
rnacentral:rRNA from 1 species